UACAGCCUGUUAGAUAGACGCUGUACACCAGGUUACCCUACAGCCUGUUAGAUAGACGCUGUACACCAGGUUACCCUACAUCCUGUUAGAUAGACGCUGUACACCAGGUUACCCUACAUCCUGUUAGAUAGACGCUGUACACCAGGUUACCCUACAGCCUGUUAGAUAGACGCUGUACACCAGGUUACCCUACAUCCUGUUAGAUAGACGCUGUACACCAGGUUACCCUACAUCCUGUUAGAUAGACGCUGUACACCAGGUUACCCUACAUCCUGUUAGAUAGACGCUGUACACCAGGUUACCCUACAUCCUGUUAGAUAGACGCUGUACACCAGGUUACCCUACAUCCUGUUAGAUAGACGCUGUACACCAGGUUACCCUACAUCCUGUUAGAUAGACGCUGUACACCAGGUUACCCUACAUCCUGUUAGAUAGACGCUGUACACCAGGUUACCCUACAUCCUGUUAGAUAGACGCUGUACACCAGGUUACCCUACAUCCUGUUAGAUAGACGCUGUACACCAGGUUACCCUAAAUCCUGUUAUCAAGACGCUGUACACCAGGUUACCCUACAUCCUGUUAGAUAGACGCUGUACACCAGGUUACCCUACAUCCUGUUAGAUAGACGCUGUACACCAGGUUACCCUACAUCCUGUUAGAUAGACGCUGUACACCAGGUUACCCUACAUCCUGUUAGAUAGACGCUGUACACCAGGUUACCCUACAUCCUGUUAGAUAGACGCUGUACACCAGGUUACCCUACAUCCUGUUAGAUAGACGCUGUACACCAGGUUACCCUACAUCCUGUUAGAUAGACGCUGUACACCAGGUUACCCUACAUCCUGUUAGAUAGACGCUGUACACCAGGUUACCCUACAUCCUGUUAGAUAGACGCUGUACACCAGGUUACCCUACAUCCUGUUAGAUAGACGCUGUACACCAGGUUACCCUACAUCCUGUUAGAUAGACGCUGUACACCAGGUUACCCUACAUCCUGUUAGAUAGAUGCUGUACACCAGGUUACCCUACAUCCUGUUAGAUAGACGCUGUACACCAGGUUACCCUACAUCCUGUUAGAUAGACGCUGUACACCAGGUUACCCUACAUCCUGUUAGAUAGACGCUGUACACCAGGUUACCCUACAUCCUGUUAGAUAGACGCUGUACACCAGGUUACCCUACAUCCUGUUAGAUAGACGCUGUACACCAGGUUACCCUACAUCCUGUUAGAUAGACGCUGUACACCAGGUUACCCUACAUCCUGUUAGAUAGACGCUGUACACCAGGUUACCCUACAUCCUGUUAGAUAGACGCUGUACACCAGGUUACCCUACAUCCUGUUAGAUAGACGCUGUACACCAGGUUACCCUACAUCCUGUUAGAUAGACGCUGUACACCAGGUUACCCUACAUCCUGUUAGAUAGACGCUGUACACCAGGUUACCCUACAUCCUGUUAGAUAGACGCUGUACACCAGGUUACCCUACAUCCUGUUAGAUAGACGCUGUACACCAGGUUACCCUACAUCCUGUUAGAUAGACGCUGUACACCAGGUUACCCUACAUCCUGUUAGAUAGACGCUGUACACCAGGUUACCCUACAUCCUGUUUGUUAGACGCUGUACACCAGGUUACCCUACAUCCUGUUAGAUAGAUGCUGUACACCAGGUUACCCUACAUCCUGUUAGAUAGACGCUGUACACCAGGUUACCCUACAUCCUGUUAGAUAGACGCUGUACACCAGGUUACCCUACAUCCUGUUAGAUAGACGCUGUACACCAGGUUACCCUACAUCCUGUUAGAUAGACGCUGUACACCAGGUUACCCUACAUCCUGUUAGAUAGACGCUGUACACCAGGUUACCCUACAUCCUGUUAGAUAGACGCUGUACACCAGGUUACCCUACAUCCUGUUAGAUAGACGCUGUACACCAGGUUACCCUACAUCCUGUUAGAUAGAUGCUGUACACCAGGUUACCCUACAUCCUGUUAGAUAGACGCUGUACACCAGGUUACCCUACAUCCUGUUAGAUAGAUGCUGUACACCAGGUUACCCUACAGCUAUAUUAGACUUGGACUAGACCACUGGUCACUGUAGUCCACAGACACCACAGGAGAUACAGGACACACGAGUGUGAAAGAGAGUGUGAAAGAGUGAGUGAGAGCGAGGGGAGUUUUAAUGAGAACUUUGUCUAUUCUAUAAAGGCCUGCUUGUUUUUACACGCUGAACUGUGGAGGGGCGGGGAUUUACCACGAGAGCAAUCCGUACGAUUGACUCACCUAGGCCUGUCCGUUGGUCUGUCUGUGUGUGUUGGGUGCUUGUUGCUGCAUGUGU